AUUGAACGCUGGCGGAAUGCUUUACACAUGCAAGUCGAGCGGCAGCGCGGGGGCAACCCUGGCGGCGAGCGGCGAACGGGUGAGUAACAUAUCGGAACGUACCCAGUCGUGGGGGAUAACUAUCCGAAAGGAUAGCUAAUACCGCAUACGACCUGAGGGUGAAAGCGGGGGACCGUAAGGCCUCGCGCGAUUGGAGCGGCCGAUAUCGGAUUAGCUAGUUGGUGAGGUAAAGGCUCACCAGGGCGACGAUCCGUAGCUGGUCUGAGAGGACGACCAGCCACACUGGAACUGAGACACGGUCCAGACUCCUACGGGAGGCAGCAGUGGGGGAAUUUUGGACAAUGGGGGGCAACCCUGAUCCAGCCAUUCCGCGUGAGUGAAGAAGGCCUUC
rnacentral:rRNA from 1 species